GACGAACCGUACGAACGUUAUUCGGAAUCACUGGGCUUAAAGGGUGCGUAGGCGGCGGUGCAAGUUGGGUGUGAAAUCCCUCGGCUCAACCGAGGAACUGCGCCCAAAACUGCAUCGCUUGAGGAAGAUAGAGGUGAGUGGAACUUAGGGUGGAGCGGUGAAAUGCGUUGAUAUCCUAAGGAACACCAGUGGCGAAAGCGACUCACUGGGUCUUUUCUGACGCUGAGGCACGAAAGCUAGGGUAGCGAACGGG
rnacentral:rRNA from 1 species